AGAGAGAGACAUGCGCGCAUAUCAAUAAGCGGAGGAAAAGAAACUAACAAGGAUUCCCCUAGUAACGGCGAGUGAAGCGGGAAGAGCUCAAAUUUGAAAUCUUAAAGGGUUUCCCUUUACGAAUUGUAGUUUAAAGAAGUGUUUUCUGUUGAGGUUUUGGUAAAAGUUCUUUGGAAUAGGACAUCAUAGAGGGUGAGAAUCCCGUAUUUGACCUUUACUUUCAACUUUGUGAUAGCACUUUCAAAGAGUCGGAUUGUUUGGGAAUGCAGUCCAAAAUGGGUGGUAAAUUUCAUCUAAAGCUAAAUAUUGGCGAGAGACCGAUAGCGUAACAAGUACCGUGAGGGAAAGAUGAAAAGAACUUUGAAAAGAGAGUUAAACAGUACGUGAAAUUGUCAAAAGGGAAGCGUUUGACACCAGUGUUGUUUUUCUGAAAAUCAAUUAAAGAACUGUUUAUGCUAAGUUGUUUAGACUUUAUCAGUUAACUGUUUAGUUUUGAGCUUUUCUUUAAUGCACUUUUCAGUUAACAAGUCAACAUCAAUUUCUUUUGCUGUAAAAAAGCUUGAGGAAGGUGGCUUGAGAUUCGUCUUAAGUGUUUAUAGCCUCUUGCCUAUGCAGUCGGAGAGAUUGAGGUCUGCAGCGUAGAUCCUUCGGGGCUAAAUGCAUUUGUGCUAAGUUAUAGCAUUUUAUAGACAACUUGUUGACUAUGAUUUGUCUUGUAGCUUACUCGCUUAUGUUAUUUUACCUACGCUUAGGAUGUUGAAGACUCUACAGAGAUA
rnacentral:rRNA from 1 species